rnacentral:rRNA from 1 species
GGGUGCGAUCAUACCUGCACUAAUGCACCGGAUCCCAUCAGAACUGCGAAGUUAAACGUGCUUGUGAGAGAGUAGUACUAAGAUGCGUGACCUCUUGGGAAGUCCUCGUGUUGCACCCC